rnacentral:rRNA from 1 species
UACGGAGGGUGCAAGCGUUAUCCGGAUUCACUGGGUUUAAAGGGUGCGUAGGUGGGUUGGUAAGUCAGUGGUGAAAUCCCCGAGCUUAACUUGGGAACUGCCGUUGAUACUAUAGAUCUUGAAUAUCGUGGAGGUAAGCGGAAUAUGUCAUGUAGCGGUGAAAUGCUUAGAUAUGACAUAGAACACCAAUUGCGAAGGCAGCUGGCUAGACCUAUAUUGACGCUGAGGCACGAAAGCGUGGGGAGCGAACAGG